rnacentral:rRNA from 1 species
CCCAUUGAUUGAUGGUGCUUGCACCUGAUUGAUUUUCCUUGCCGACGAGUGGCGGACGGGUGAGUAACACGUAGGUAACCCGCCCAGAAGCGGGGGACAACAUUUGGAAACAGAUGCUAAUACCGCAUAACAGCGUUGUUCGCAUGAACAACGCUUAAAAGAUGGCUUCUCGCUAUCACUUCUGGAUGGACCUGCGGUGCAUUAGCUUGUUGGUGGGGUAACGGCCUACCAAGGCGAUGAUGCAUAGCCGAGUUGAGAGACUGAUCGGCCACAAUGGGACUGAGACACGGCCCAUACUCCUACGGGAGGCAGCAGUAGGGAAUCUUCCACAAUGGGCGCAAGCCUGAUGGAGCAACACCGCGUGAGUGAAGAAGGGUUUCGGCUCGUAAAGCUCUGUUGUUAAAGAAGAACACGUAUGAGAGUAACUGUUCAUACGUUGACGGUAUUUAACCAGAAAGUCACGGCUAACUACGUGCCAGCAGCCGCGGUAAUACGUAGGUGGCAAGCGUUAUCCGGAUUUAUUGGGCGUAAAGAGAGUGCAGGCGGUUUUCUAAGUCUGAUGUGAAAGCCUUCGGCUUAACCGGAGAAGUGCAUCGGAAACUGGAUAACUUGAGUGCAGAAGAGGGUAGUGGAACUCCAUGUGUAGCGGUGGAAUGCGUAGAUAUAUGGAAGAACACCAGUGGCGAAGGCGGCUACCUGGUCUGCAACUGACGCUGAGACUCGAAAGCAUGGGUAGCGA